UACGAAGGGGGCUAGCGUUGCUCGGAAUUACUGGGCGUAAAGGGCGCGUAGGCGGAUAUUUAAGUUAGAGGUGAAAGCCCAGGGCUCAACCCUGGAACAGCCUUUAAUACUGGAUAUCUUGAGUUCGGGAGAGGUGAGUGGAACUCCGGGUGUAGAGGUGAAAUUCGUAGAUAUUCGGAAGAACACCAGUGGCGAAGGCGACUCACUGGGACGAUACUGACGCUGAGGCGCGAAAGCGUGGGGAGCAAACAGG
rnacentral:rRNA from 1 species